UUCAUUUUACAGAAGAGGAAUAGAAGUUUAUCCGUAUAUCUGAUGUAAAGCGAUUUCCGUCCACAUUCUGGCUUAUUGCCAUCAGCUCCGCUCUCUUCUACCUGCAGCUUUUCCCCUUCGUGACACAGGGAGAGCUGUUCUUUGCAACGAAGUAUUCAAGAAGUCCGAAAGAGGCAAAUACGAUAAACAGCAUGGUAUACCUGGUUGGAGCGGUUUCGAUGCCACUGUUCGGUGUUGCC